GACGAACGCUGGCGGCGUGCUUAACACAUGCAAGUCGAGCGGUAAGGCCCUUUCGGGGGUACACGAGCGGCGAACGGGUGAGUAACACGUGGGUGACCUGCCCUUAGCUCUGGGAUAAGCCUGGGAAACUGGGUCUAAUACCGGAUAUGACUCCAUGACGCAUGUUGUGGGGUGGAAAGCCUUGUGCGGCUAGGGAUGGGCCCGCGGCCUAUCAGCUUGUUGGUGGGGUGAUGGCCUACCAAGGCGACGACGGGUAGCCGGCCUGAGAGGGCGACCGGCCACACUGGGACUGAGACACGGCCCAGACUCCUACGGGAGGCAGCAGUGGGGAAGUCUUGCGCAAUGGGCGAAAGCCUGACGCAGCGACGCCGCGUGAGGGAUGACGGCCU
rnacentral:rRNA from 1 species